rnacentral:rRNA from 1 species
UUAAGCGACUAAGCGUACACGGUGGAUGCCCUGGCAGUCAGAGGCGAUGAAGGACGUGCUAAUCUGCGAUAAGCGUCGGUAAGGUGAUAUGAACCGUUAUAACCGGCGAUUUCCGAAUGGGGAAACCCAGUGUGAUUCGUCACACUAUCAUUAACUGAAUCCAUAGGUUAAUGAGGCGAACCGGGGGAACUGAAACAUCUAAGUACCCCGAGGAAAAGAAAUCAACCGAGAUUCCCCCAGUAGCGGCGAGCGAACGGGGAGGAGCCCAGAGCCUGAAUCAGUGUGUGUGUUAGUGGAAGCGUCUGGAAAGGCGCGCGAUACAGGGUGACAGCCCCGUACACAAAAAUGCACAUACUGUGAGCUCGAUGAGUAGGGCGGGACACGUGGUAUCCUGUCUGAAUAUGGGGGGACCAUCCUCCAAGGCUAAAUACUCCUGACUGACCGAUAGUGAACCAGUACCGUGAGGGAAAGGCGAAAAGAACCCCGGCGAGGGGAGUGAAAAAGAACCUGAAACCGUGUACGUACAAGCAGUGGGAGCCUCUUUUAUGGGGUGACUGCGUACCUUUUGUAUAAUGGGUCAGCGACUUAUAUUCUGUAGCAAGGUUAACCGAAUAGGGGAGCCGAAGGGAAACCGAGUCUUAACUGGGCGUUAAGUUGCAGGGUAUAGACCCGAAACCCGGUGAUCUAGCCAUGGGCAGGUUGAAGGUUGGGUAACACUAACUGGAGGACCGAACCGACUAAUGUUGAAAAAUUAGCGGAUGACUUGUGGCUGGGGGUGAAAGGCCAAUCAAACCGGGAGAUAGCUGGUUCUCCCCGAAAGCUAUUUAGGUAGCGCCUCGUGAACUCAUCUCCGGGGGUAGAGCACUGUUUCGGCAAGGGGGUCAUCCCGACUUACCAACCCGAUGCAAACUGCGAAUACCGGAGAAUGUUAUCACGGGAGACACACGGCGGGUGCUAACGUCCGUCGUGAAGAGGGAAACAACCCAGACCGCCAGCUAAGGUCCCAAAGUCAUGGUUAAGUGGGAAACGAUGUGGGAAGGCCCAGACAGCCAGGAUGUUGGCUUAGAAGCAGCCAUCAUUUAAAGAAAGCGUAAUAGCUCACUGGUCGAGUCGGCCUGCGCGGAAGAUGUAACGGGGCUAAACCAUGCACCGAAGCUGCGGCAGCGACGCUGAUGCGUUGUUGGGUAGGGGAGCGUUCUGUAAGCCUGUGAAGGUGUGCUGUGAGGCAUGCUGGAGGUAUCAGAAGUGCGAAUGCUGACAUAAGUAACGAUAAAGCGGGUGAAAAGCCCGCUCGCCGGAAGACCAAGGGUUCCUGUCCAACGUUAAUCGGGGCAGGGUGAGUCGACCCCUAAGGCGAGGCCGAAAGGCGUAGUCGAUGGGAAACAGGUUAAUAUUCCUGUACUUGGUGUUACUGCGAAGGGGGACGGAGAAGGCUAUGUUGGCCGGGCGACGGUUGUCCCGGUUUAAGCGUGUAGGCUGGUUUUCCAGGCAAAUCCGGAAAAUCAAGGCUGAGGCGUGAUGACGAGGCACUACGGUGCUGAAGCAACAAAUGCCCUGCUUCCAGGAAAAGCCUCUAAGCAUCAGGUAACAUCAAAUCGUACCCCAAACCGACACAGGUGGUCAGGUAGAGAAUACCAAGGCGCUUGAGAGAACUCGGGUGAAGGAACUAGGCAAAAUGGUGCCGUAACUUCGGGAGAAGGCACGCUGAUAUGUAGGUGAAGCGACUUGCUCGUGGAGCUGAAAUCAGUCGAAGAUACCAGCUGGCUGCAACUGUUUAUUAAAAACACAGCACUGUGCAAACACGAAAGUGGACGUAUACGGUGUGACGCCUGCCCGGUGCCGGAAGGUUAAUUGAUGGGGUCAGCGCAAGCGAAGCUCUUGAUCGAAGCCCCGGUAAACGGCGGCCGUAACUAUAACGGUCCUAAGGUAGCGAAAUUCCUUGUCGGGUAAGUUCCGACCUGCACGAAUGGCGUAAUGAUGGCCAGGCUGUCUCCACCCGAGACUCAGUGAAAUUGAACUCGCUGUGAAGAUGCAGUGUACCCGCGGCAAGACGGAAAGACCCCGUGAACCUUUACUAUAGCUUGACACUGAACAUUGAGCCUUGAUGUGUAGGAUAGGUGGGAGGCUUAGAAGUGUGGACGCCAGUCUGCAUGGAGCCGACCUUGAAAUACCACCCUUUAAUGUUUGAUGUUCUAACGUUGACCCGUGAUCCGGGUUGCGGACAGUGUCUGGUGGGUAGUUUGACUGGGGCGGUCUCCUCCUAAAGAGUAACGGAGGAGCACGAAGGUUGGCUAAUCCUGGUCGGACAUCAGGAGGUUAGUGCAAUGGCAUAAGCCAGCUUGACUGCGAGCGUGACGGCGCGAGCAGGUGCGAAAGCAGGUCAUAGUGAUCCGGUGGUUCUGAAUGGAAGGGCCAUCGCUCAACGGAUAAAAGGUACUCCGGGGAUAACAGGCUGAUACCGCCCAAGAGUUCAUAUCGACGGCGGUGUUUGGCACCUCGAUGUCGGCUCAUCACAUCCUGGGGCUGAAGUAGGUCCCAAGGGUAUGGCUGUUCGCCAUUUAAAGUGGUACGCGAGCUGGGUUUAGAACGUCGUGAGACAGUUCGGUCCCUAUCUGCCGUGGGCGCUGGAGAACUGAGGGGGGCUGCUCCUAGUACGAGAGGACCGGAGUGGACGCAUCACUGGUGUUCGGGUUGUCAUGCCAAUGGCACUGCCCGGUAGCUAAAUGCGGAAGAGAUAAGUGCUGAAAGCAUCUAAGCACGAAACUUGCCCCGAGAUGAGUUCUCCCUGACCCUUUAAGGGUCCUGAAGGAACGUUGAAGACGACGACGUUGAUAGGCCGGGUGUGUAAGCGCAGCGAUGCGUUGAGCUAACCGGUACUAAUGAACCGUGAGGCUUAACCUU